UACGAAGGGGGGCUAGCGUUGCUCGGAAUCACUGGGCGUAAAGGGUGCGUAGGCGGGUCUUUUAAGUCAGGGGUGAAAUCCUGGAGCUCAACUCCAGAACUGCCUUUGAUACUGAAGAUCUUGAGUUCGGGAGAGGUGAGUGGAACUGCGAGUGUAGAGGUGAAAAUUCGUAGAUAUUCGCAAGAACACCAGUGGCGAAAGGCGGCUCACUGGCCCGAUACUGACGCUGAGGCACGAAAAGCGUGGGGGAGCAAACAGGG
rnacentral:rRNA from 1 species